CUACUACACUUCCCAGCGCAGUCCUCCCUAUGUGAUAGGGAUGAUCUCAGCAGCUGGUAUCAGGGAAUGGAGGUUUUGUAAAUCCUGGGGCCUGCCAGAAGGUCUAGAACAACACCUUUCAUCAAAACGUUCAUUCUUAUUGUGACGAUGUAAUAAAGGAA